rfam:Triticum aestivum genome assembly, contig: Triticum_aestivum_CS42_TGACv1_scaffold_404876_5BL
UUAGUACUCCCUCCGUCCGAAAAUACUUGUCAUCAAAAUGAACAAAAGGGGAUGUAUCUAGAACUAAAAUACAUCUAAAUACAUCUUUUUUUAUUCAUUUUGAUGACAAGUAUUUCCGGAUGGAGGGUGUAUCUG